GAAAGAGAUAAUUUCACUGUUAUAUACUGUCUAUUAUACAACAAAUAUCAGCCAAAUACUCCAGCAUUAUACCGCUACCCUUUAUAUACAUUUCCCAAGAACAGCCAGCUUGAUAACUUCAGCUUAGAAACAGGAGCAUUGAAUUGAAUAAAUAUAACUACCAUACUACACAGGUCUUCUAAGUUUGGGAAAGCAUAGCCAAGAGAAUCUUCUUCCUGGGUCCCAUUGGUAUCCCCAAUUCCUUCAGGUCACGGUCCCCCAUUUGCUUCAGUGCAGCCAUGUCUACCUCCUCGGCUUGAAAGUGGAUAGUGUAUUUCCCCAAACCGAGCGAAUUUAAUAGACUGGCAACGGUCAAAGGAGGUUGAUCAGGAUAUGGUCUGUGUAGCAUGCCUCCAUUUGCAGAGGGAAGACCUGUCAAUGGAUUCCUGGCACCCAGUGCUGACCUCAUGGUCACAGGGGUAAGGACUUUUAGCUGAGAAGAGUCGAUGAGGUCAUAUCCUGCCAUAUGAACCAUUCUUGAAGCUUCGGCUGGCCUUACUGACGGUACAUGCUGAGCUGCAGUGAUAUUCCUUGAAGAAGAGACUUCUUUAGAAUCGUUUGCAAGUCUAUAAGGGGAUCUUGAUCUAACACCAGCAGCAGUUUGUGAUGUAUAGGAGGAUCUAAUUGCCUCUAUCUGAAGCAAUUCGCUAGCUCCUGACGACGGUUGGCUGCUGGUGACAAGCCUCUUGUGAGAUUGUUCUGCAGAUUGAACACUUCUUGUCAUCCUCUUAUGCUGCUCCUUUUUUCUUUCUUCAAUCUGCAGAUGAAUUUCCCUUUGCCUUCUUCUGUGCGUUAGUUUCAGUCGGAGGUCAUUUUUCCCAAUGCGUGCACCAUUCUGUCUGCCAUAUCUGGAACCUCCUGCAUCUUUAUCCCCUCGCACACGUUUACGAAGGGAUUUUGUAGGAUCCUCAGAGUCAGUCCUAUAGGUCUCUCCUAAUGACCUUUUGCCUCUUGACAAUGUCUGUUGACUAAAACCAUUACCCUGAGAAGCUGAUGAUCGCUUAACCACUUUUUGACCCGAGCGUCCCAAAGUGAUGGUGACCUGAGGCCUUGACAUUUGAGAUGGUCAAAACUUAUGCACAGC
rnacentral:misc_RNA from 1 species